GGGCGAAGCAGACGCGUCUUCCUCUAGCUCCGAGAUGCUUUUCUCUCCAGUAAUGUCACUUUCAAAAUCCGUUAUCAAACGCUUUCCUUCACAGAAUGGACUUUUUGAGACGACGAGUGGGCUCCCUGAGGAAUGAGAUGGAAAACACUGUAUGUAAUCUUGGAUUUAGCAACCUAUUUUAUGGCGAGGUUCAACAAUGUCACCAGAAAAGAGGUAGCACUUAAUCACCCAGACAAACACGCCAUUACCCUGCGGAUCCUAAGAACACCAAGCUGAAUUAAAUAUGCAGUUAGUGUUGAUGCAGCCUGCUCGCAAUAAUGUAUUGUGUUGCGAACAAGAAGAAUGGCCACUUCCCUGCCUCCUGGUGCAGAGGGGGCCCGCAGUGACACGGAGGCUCAGGUAUAUGGAUGGCCUGAGGAGGUCUCCAUCAUUCAUAAAACAUGCUGCUGCCGCACGCCACCGAAUUGAUCUUGCAAAAGAAGCCGGGUGGCAUGCCGACCACUUCAUUAGUCUUCUGCGGCUACAAAUCACACUCGUCGUUGCCUCCCAGGGACCCGCUGUAACCGCAAACUUGGCCGUGACGCACUUGGCCCGGACUCGGAUCUCGACCGGUCUGACAGAGUUUUUCCGCGCAGACCACAUUGUUUAUGGUGAAAUGACUAAAAUAUGUUUGAAAAGAAUGACAACAGAGACCAGCCCCCUAAAAUAAGAAAUGCACACAAUUUUUGAGCUCUGUAAUUGAUUGCUGGUGGUCAUUUUGGGCGUCAUGGGAUAAAAUCAAGUGGCUUCUCCAUAAAACAAUGUCAAAUAUUGAUGAUAUUUCUCUUCCCCGGCCUCUGAAUGAAUUGCCCCACUCACUGAGGCUUUUUGAUGAAUGCUUUUUAUUGCCUUUUCUGUUGUUGCUGGAGCAGCUGGAAGGAACUGGGCCCGGUCCUCUCAGACACGGCUAACCAAAUUGCCCUGAGAGGACUGCGACAUUACAGUCCACAAAUCAGAGCUGCGUUGAUUUUUAUUAUGUUUCUGUUCUUUUUUCUUUUUUUUUGAGAGGGUUUAAUGGCAUUAAAAUGUACCCGCAUUUCUGUUGUAAAACAAUCCCACGAUAAAGCAAAAGUCAAUUUUAUGCUUGAUGAUUGACUAAACGAAAGAGCAACGGCAUUUCCAGUGAAACAAAUGUUCCUAAAUGAGCAUAAAAUGUGGUAGUUUCUCAGAACGUAAAGAGCGCCAACAAAAGAUUGGGCAGAUACAGAGCGCUGAUGGAGAACGUCAAAAGGGACUUCAUAGCUUGGCUUGUAAAUGUGAAAAGAAAAUGGAAUGUCUUUCUUGCUCUCUUCUGCUUUUGUCUGUCUGUUUCAGAAAACAAACUGUUCUUGCAUUGUGUUGUCUCUUUAAAGUUGCAUGGUUAGCCCUCAACCCCCCUCAUGCACAGUCUAUUCCCUCAACUGUCAUGCUGCCAGGCCUAAAAGCCUGUCUUGUGAAAUGUUCAACAUCAGAAAUGGUUUGUGUGCAUGUCAGUUUGGCCCACCAAAAAAUCCAAACAGUUAUAGCAAAGGCACCAUAGGCAUGUUCUCCUGUGAAGUUUUGUUUGUGUUUUAAAGGCCAUUGGUUAUAGCUGAAGCACUAUCGCUGUCUAAAGCUUAUUUAUGAUCUCGCUGCUAUAUUAAGAUCUUAUCAGGUUAACACAACCUAAGGUCACAUCUACUUUUAGCACACACGUUGAGUUAUGUAACUUAUUGAGGCAUCUGAGAAUGACGGGCAACUUCGAAACUAAUAAUGACAUCACUUCCGGAAUACCUAGUAUUAGUAAAAAAAAAUAUUCAGAUCACUCUCUGAACAUUUCCAUAAGCACACAUAUAUAUUUCUCUCUGCAUCCGCUUCUCUCACAAAACUCCCCAUUUGACUUGUGAAACACAAUGAACACAUUUGAAGAUAUGCAUGAAUAAUUCAGUCCACCAGGGCUGUAGUGGUUGAGCAUGUAAGCAUGCAAGUGUGUGAAGGAGGGGAGACAGGGUGGUGGGACAGCAAACAAGUCCCGUCUGGUUAAGCUUUUUUGAAGGACGGCCCAAAGUGCGCAGCGCAGCGUUACAAGUGCUUGAGGUCUGAGGGGAAUUGGGAGCAUCUCCAUUACCAGUGCGGAACAAUUUGUUUGGAAUUAUGCCAAGCAGCAAAUAUCUGGACCUUUGGGGACAGCCAACAUCUGAUCCCACAGCAAAGCAAAUCUCUACAAGUUUGCUUCAUUCCCUCUCUCCUCUCACCGCAGACUCAUUCUCUUCUGUCCUUCCAGAUCCUUUCAGCUACAAAUGCUUUCUUUGAAUUAAAGCACAGAACCUUUGCCCUAAAAUUCUUCUUGUUGCUCAACAUUCAAACGGACGACUACUUCCAUGUUCUCCUCGAUGCUGCUCAGUCAUUUCCGGUAACAGUGUUCAGCGUAUCUACAUGCAGAGAUCAUGGUAGAUUAUUUCUAUUUUUAGGGCGGUCACUUAAUUAAAAACAAUAAAUCCUGUUUGUGACGUUAACAUGCUAGUUUUUAUGACAGAUCUUAAAUUAGCAGAAGUUCACCUCCUAAUAUAUUUGAUAAAAGUACACUCAACUCCGGAAUAAUAAAGCCGUUGUAUGCACCCUGCAGCAGUCUUCUCAGUUCUUUUGAAGAGGAUGUACCUAGUGAUGUACCUAGAAUAUUUCUUAUGGUGCUGAUAAUGUAUGUACGUAAAAAUCUUAAUUUGAACAGUUUAGGUUUCAUAGGCAGAAACAACCCAUUGUAAAUGCAUAUAACCCGAACCUAGUGAGCCGUACGAUUUAGAUUUAGAUAUUUUUUUUUUUUUUUUUUUAGAUUUCAAGUCAGAAGUACGUCACAAGGCUACGUGCAAGUAGUCCGUUCCCAGGCAAUAUAUAGUAAUAAUAUAUAAUAUAAUUAUAUUUUUAUUUAAUCAGCAUUUCUAGAUGUAUUGUGGCCAUCCCAGUCCAGUGUCUGUUGAAUUUCAACAAAAUCAAACCUCAGGAGUGAGAUCAAGCCACCCAACAGCAGUGUGAAACACUGACAGCAUGACAAGACACAUAAAAAAUGUGAUAAAAAUCAAGGUUAUCACAUAAAAAUAUUGUUGACCCUUUCCUAAAUGCUGUACAUGUACAAAUAUUGUUAUAUUGCUUAAGAGUGAAUAUGAACUUGUUUUCUUUGCCGUGUUUGAGUUCUGAAAAAAUACAGAGCAUCUUUUAUGUUUAUGUUUGUAUUUUGACAUUUUUCUUCUGUUUUUAUUUCCUGAAAUUAAAUGCAAAUAGAAACUAUAUUUUUAUUUGAAAUUUGGGAGAAAUGAUGUUAGUUGUUUACAGAAUGAAACAAAAAUGAUAAUCUAACCUAAACACAUACCUAUAAAUAGUCAAUUCAGAAAAACCAAAAAUGAUCUUUAAAAUGGUGUCUUAUUUUUUUCAGCAGCUGUACGUAUUGAUAAAAUAAAUAUUCUGAAUGCACAGUAAGCUGCCAAAUGUGUAAAUGUAAAUUAAAUAAUAUCAAAAAAGACAAUCAAAAUGACAUAAAAGGUUAAUGGUAUCCCCACACAAUAUUCGGUCUAUUAAUAUGACAUAAUUAAGGGCAACAUGAAUCAGCGAUGUGGCACAGACACGAGUGGCUUGUGUUCAAACUGAAAGUCAAAGCUUGACUAUUAAGAAAUUCUAUUACCCACUGAUGCAAUUUGUGGGUAAAUACCAUUCAUCUUCAAUUCAUAUUCGUGCAGAGCAGGCCAAAAUAAACUGUGACGUGUUGCUAGGACACAAGCACAAAGAGGGAGCGCCAAUAGUCUAGUUACACAUCUCUCCCUCUCUUUCUCUGUUAUAAAGUGCUGUGACAGCAGAAAUGUUUGUGUGACAAGCAUUUGGGGGCUUAGUCCAUUAGCAGCCUCUUAUGAGUCUCCUUGGCGAGUUAUUGGGGCAGUGAGUCAAAACCUUGCAGAUCCUUCCCUCCUCCAUUUGUAUCAUGUGGUAUAUGGGCACAGAAAGUAAAGACACAAAGGAGGAAAGACAGACAGAAAGAAACUGCCGUGUUUUUGGCAUCAUUUUAGCAAAUGUGAUGUGACAAAUUGAAAGAGUGCACAGACGUGCACGCGCGUGUUCGUGUGUACCUCUGAUGCGCAGAAUAUCUGUGGUGUUAUUAGUUAAACAGGCACAUGUCCAUAAUUGAUGUGUGAGGCAAGUCUGUGACUGUAUGCACUUUGCACGAGGCAUCCAGGAAAGCCGGCUGUAGCUGUCAAUCAAAAUGACACAUGACCGUAAAACACAAUUACGUGUCUAUAUCUGUUCCCCACAGCCUGCACUAAACACAGGGAAUUCAUGCAUCAGCUUGCUACAGUCAUCUAAAACACAUCUAACAUAGCAAAACAGAAUUCAAUGAGCAUAAUAUACACAACACAUUCGCCAAAAGUGGAGUAGUUCAGUCAGAAAAUCCAAGUUAGACUUACCCCACCUGAACCGUACUAUAAAACUCAUGCCGCGUGUUAUAUCUGGAAUCUGCUUUAUGCAGUUUUCAAACACGAACUAAAGAGAAAACAUAUCUAUCAUACGAUAUGAAUGUGUGGACAUUGAGAAUGAUUGUUACCUCAUGUUAUGUCAUGCACUGAUGUUCCCAAUAUGCAUCUUAAACUUUUCAUUGUUUGCAUGACUGUUCACAUCAUUCUUUAUUAUCAAAAUUGAUGGUUUCUGACCGUGGGCUGUCAUUAACAGUCACGCGUAGAGGAAAGAGUUAUAAUAAAUCAAAUAUAAACCGAGGGACUUAACAAGACAAGGCUGAUCUUUUCAUAGUGUUUUUGGAUAAAGCUGUAUCUCCAGGGGUCUGCUUGCGGUCUGGUGCCAACUCUUUCUGCGUGACAUGGCCAAGCAUCUUUUCCCAAUAAAGAGCAGCGGAUGUUGAUGGAAAAUGCCGUAGCAUUUUCAUUACACUCACCAUGCUAAUCUGAUUUCUCGUUCCCUUGUUUUAGGUAAUCACAUGCCACCAUACAGCAUGUUCCAGCAGCGGGGCUACAGCUGGGCAGAUGUAUUCAAGAUUACAGCUCACACAUGCGCUCUCUAGUAUUGUGAUAUUUUUAUGCAAGUUAAAGGGAAGCACCAUUUGAAAUUCAAUUGAAAUGAGGCUAGAUGUGUGUAUAUGCUUUAUCAAUAGAACUUACAAACAAAGCUUUGUUCGUAAGACUUGAGUUUGAGCUGUCUAUAAAAGGAGUAUUUUAAGACAUCUUCCAAAAAGUUGGCAACGUUGGCAACGUAAGUACACUGCCUCCUAAGACAGCAAAUUUUUACCAAAUUCUUUUUUUUGGUAUACUUUGUGAAUGAUAAUAAUGUAUUGUGAUGAGACAUUUCAUCACAUAUUUCAUUCAGUACUGAAAAGUUUAGAUGACAAAUAGCAUUUCCCAUAUAAUAAAUAUUGUAUUAUUUAGACAACAAAAAAUGUGUCUGCUAUUUAUGUAUGGUAAUUCCCAUAUUACAUGCUAAUGCAAAAUCUAUUGAAAUCAAAUGUGAUGAAAGUCUCUUGUGCACUUUGCUAUAUAACACGUUUAAUGUUGUUGUCUAUGCAGAGUGUUUCAAAUCAGUCACACAUGAGGUUCCAUUUCAAUUAGGAUGUUGCCUAAGAAGGUCCUUGGAGGUACAUUUACACUGAGUGCUCGGUGGAUUAGAUUGAGGGUAUUUUUAAGGACGUUUUUAUUAAUAAGUAUCAUUGGUUGCUAAUCCAAUGCAACACCAAGUAAAUAAAGCACCAGUGGCAGGAAAUCUGAUGUACAUACUAACUUAAAGGGAU